rnacentral:rRNA from 1 species
UAAUACGGAGGGUGCAAGCGUUGUCCGGAUUUAUUGGGUUUAAAGGGUGCGUAGGCGGUGCGUUAAGUCAGUGGUGAAAUCCCGCAGCUCAACUGUGGAACUGCCAUUGAUACUGGCGCACUUGAGUACGGACGAGGUAGGCGGAAUUUAUGGUGUAGCGGUGAAAUGCAUAGAUACCAUAAAGAACACCGAUAGCGAAGGCAGCUUACUAGACCGUAACUGACGCUCAGGCACGAAAGCGUGGGGAGCGAACAGGAUUAGAUACCCUGGUAGUCCACGCCGUAAACGAUGAUCACUCGAUGUGUGCAAUACACCGUACGCGUCCAAGCGAAAGCGUUAAGUGAUCCACCUGG